GAUUCGCUUACAGUCUGAACUUUUUGCAGGCGUAAGGUUUGCUAUGCAGAAUAUUUUAGAUUUAUUACUGUGGUAUCUAGAUGGGCUUUGGUGAAGAACAUUACAGAAGACAAACAAAAAUGCUUGCUUCGGAACGUUUUUGAGUUAGGUGCACACGUAAGGGGCAGCUGGCCAGAAGGUUGCAGCCAUUCAGUUGAGCUGCUUCAUGGAGGAGUGGCUGCUCAUCCCCAUUCACUGACAGGAUCCUCUUUUCUGGCGGCUGCUCCUCAGGCUGGCGGGCAAUCAGCAGACGACAGGUAUGUUCUCCAUGUGGUUGGCUCUCACACAGACAAUAUUUCUUGCUGGAGAGAGACAAACAGGCUGCAAAGCAGAAGCUAGCAAGGACUGCCACAGACACAUUCUCUGCAACUAAAUAAUCCCCACCAUGAGACUCUUGAGGAGUUGAGCGAGAGGCUGUUGGUGUCUCAAAGGGGACGACAUUCCCAUGAGAUACUCACUGAAGGGACUAUAGGCUGGAGAGGACAGCAGAGUCCACCAGGUUUCUGCACAUCUAUGCCCAGCUCCUCAAGACGAGACGCCAGUGUCUGCAAAAUCUUCCUCUGGCUUUCAUACUUCACCUGCAGAGGAGUCCUAAGCCAGAAACACUCUCAGAGGAUCAUAUGAUAGUGGGCAGGUCUUCAUCACCCACCUCUAGGAAGGCCAGGAGGGAAUACUGCAAGUGGGAUAUAGCCCCAGAGGAACUCUGCCUUUCUCAUCACCGCAGCUGAUACAAUGGGGAGAGAGAGAAAUCCUAUGUUCAUGGUCCUCAAGCACUGGUCUGGAGCACCUGGUCAAACCUGAAGCCCCAGUGAACCAGCUGGUCCACACUGGACAAGAUCGCUGUGUGAGCACCCAUCCUCUGUGCCGUUAGUGAUCACACAUACCACCCACGGGGAACCUCCCAGUUCUAUCCUUCACAAUGACUGAAGAAUUAAAGCAGCAGUAAAUUGGG